UGGGGAAUUUUGGACAAUGGGGGAAACCCUGAUCCAGCCAUCCCGCGUGUGCGAUGAAGGCCUUCGGGUUGUAAAGCACUUUUGGCAGGAAAGAAACGUCAUGGGUUAAUACCCCGUGAAACUGACGGUACCUGCAGAAUAAGCACCGGCUAACUACGUGCCAGCAGCCGCGGUAAUACGUAGGGUGCAAGCGUUAAUCGGAAUUACUGGGCGUAAAGCGUGCGCAGGCGGUUCGGAAAGAAAGAUGUGAAAUCCCAGAGCUCAACUUUGGAACUGCAUUUUUAACUACCGUGCUAGAGUGUGUCAGAGGGAGGUGGAAUUCCGCGUGUAGCAAUGAAAUGCGUAGAUAUGCGGAGGAACACCGAUGGCGAAGGCAGCCUCCUGGGAUAACACUGACGCUCAUGCACGAAAGCGUGGGGAGCAAACAGG
rnacentral:rRNA from 1 species